rnacentral:rRNA from 2 species
AGGUGCGAUCAUACCAACACUAAUGCACCGGAUCCCAUCAGAACUCCGCAGUUAAGUGUGCUUGGGCGAGAGUAGUAUUAGGAUGGGUGACCUCUUGGGAAGUCCUCGUGUUGCACCUC